rnacentral:rRNA from 1 species
UACGGGGGGGGCAAGCGUUGUUCGGAAUUACUGGGCGUAAAGAGCUCGUAGGUGGUUUGUCGCGUUGUUCGUGAAAUCUCACGGCUUAACUGUGAGCGUGCGGGCGAUACGGGCAGACUGGAGUACUGCAGGGGAGACUGGAAUUCCUGGUGUAGCGGUGGAAUGCGCAGAUAUCAGGAGGAACACCGGUGGCGAAGGCAGGUCUCUGGGCAGUAACUGACGCUGAGGAGCGAAAGCGUGGGGAGCGAACAGG